UAAAACAUAGUGUCAAUGCACCAGGUCCUAUUAGAACUCCGCAGUUAAGCACACUUAGGCUAGAGUAGUACUGGGAUGGGUGACUACCCGGGAAGUCCUAGUGUUUUAC
rfam:Picea glauca, whole genome shotgun sequence.